rnacentral:rRNA from 1 species
UACGAAGGACCCAAGCGUUAUCCGGAUUUAUUGGGCUUAAAGGGUGCGUAGGCGGAUUAUUAAGUCAGUGGUGAAAGCCUUCAGCUUAACUGAAGAACUGCCAUUGAUACUGAUGAUCUUGAGUAUGAUUGAGGUGGGCGGAAUGUGUCAUGUAGCGGUGAAAUGCUUAGAUAUGACACAGAACACCGAUUGCGAAGGCAGCUCACUAAGUCAUAACUGACGCUGAUGCACGAAAGCGUGGGGAGCAAACAGG